AUUGAACGCUGGCGGCAGGCCUAACACAUGCAAGUCGAGCGGAUGAGGGGAGCUUGCUCCUUGAUUCAGCGGCGGACGGGUGAGUAAUGCCUAGGAAUCUGCCUGGUAGUGGGGGACAACGUUCCGAAAGGAACGCUAAUACCGCAUACGUCCUACGGGAGAAAGCAGGGGACCUUCGGGCCUUGCGCUAUCAGAUGAGCCUAGGUCGGAUUAGCUAGUUGGUGAGGUAAUGGCUCACCAAGGCGACGAUCCGUAACUGGUCUGAGAGGAUGAUCGGUCACACUGGAACUGAGAAACGGGCCAGACACCUACGGUAGGCAACAGUGGGGAAUAUUGGACAAUGGGCGAACGCCUGAUCCAGCCAUUCCGCGUGUGUGAAGAAGGUCUUCGGAUUGUAAAGCACUUUAAGUUGGGAGGAAGGGAAGUAAGUUAAUACCUUGCUGUUUUGACGUUACCAACAGAAUAAGCACCGGCUAACUUCGUGCCAGCAGCCGCCGUAACAC
rnacentral:rRNA from 1 species